UAUUUGCAGAAAUUGUCAAAGGAAUUUUGUUUACCAAGAAUAAAAAGAUGAUCUAUCAGCGGCAAUCUCUCUUAUAAAUAAAUAUUUUUUCCAAAUUGCCCAGUGAUACAUCGACCAAACUAACUCCAUUAUCGAGAUGUGCAGAGACAAAGCGUUGCGAAAAAGUUAUGUAUCAAUAUACACUUCGUUUGCCUAUAAAUUCGUCUUUAAAAUAUGACAUAGUGGGAUUACCAAUGCCAACUGAAAUCCUUGCAAGACUAAUGGUAGCCCUUCAGGCAUAUCGAGAGUUGCAUAAAUGUGUGGAGAACUGGACAACACCUUGCAACCAAUUAGGCAAGAAGGAUUUAAAGCAUUCGAGUCUGAUUGGGAGGAGUUGGAAUUAGAAAAAAUUGACGAGUAAGUUUUUACAUAUAAUGCAGGAUCAUGGCCUGGUGUAUAACCAAACGUCGCUAAUAUUAUUACAAACGAAUUGCAUCAGAGUUUUACAAUUGUCGACCUACUGCUGGUGCUGUAUCCUAUUUAUACAUUCCUGAAGAACAAAAUACUCGCGGGCGAAAAAUUUAUCCGCUUCUUUGUAAAAUAUCGCAUUACAAUUCAAAAUGCUAAUCAACCUCUGCUCGAUGUUAAUCAUACGAUUGCCAGAUUUAAUUUCCUUACCCCUCGAUAUGUAAACAGAAAAGAAAAAGCUUUACCAAGAAAGUUCGGAAGAAACCAAACGCGCAAAAAGAGAAAAUCUAGAAACAAGUGCCGGAACUUUCUACAGUUCAUCCAUUUCCUACUUCUUUGUGGCGAACAGCUGUUCGUUUGCCAUGCAUUCUACAUCGAGUCAAUUGACUUUGACUGUCCGAAGUGCCAAUGACUUAAAUCUUCUCUAUUGGAAACAUAGGUGACAGUAUUAUUAUUAUGCCCUUAAAUUAUUUUAGUCAAAAAAUUAGCGGUGCAUUACGUAUUCUUUUACAAGAAUUUCAAGUUUCUUUUGUAAAUCUUGUUUUAACUAUGAUAACAAAAACAACACAUUUGAUAUU